CAGAUACUUUCGGCAUUAUAUGGUUCUAAGAUAAAAUCCCAUUAAAAUGUAUAGAUAUGAAAUUUAAUCAUUUGGGACUAAUUUUCCUUUAAAUGUAUAGAUAUGAGAUUUACUGUUGGAAUCCACUUGUGCACCAGAUUCUCAGUUAAGUGUCUGGCAGAAUAUUCCCUUCCAGUUAACUCAGCUACACCAGAAUAUUCCUUCCAGAAUUGGUCCAGCUUCCCAUUUGUCGAGAGUUAGAGAGUGUGUUAAUUUUCUCUAUAAAUAACAGACCUUGUAUAGCUUUUAGAUGAUUGGAUUGUUUCCUUCCAAUCCCUCCUUCCAUGGAGGUUUCAAAAGUGUUUCUUCCUCCUCUCAUUUCCUCCUUUGAUGGAGUGUAAUACAUCUUUGGAGUUUAAUACAUUGCUUCUCAUCCAAUAAAUUCUAAUAUGGUAUCAGAGCAAAAUUGCUUCCUGUUUGCUGUGUUAAUUUCAUCUCAUUUUUGUGUGAUCUGCUCAAAUGAAGACAGAUCUACGAUUUCUUCUAUUUUGAAAUAAUUCUAGAAGUUUCAUUUCCAGUAGAUUUUCGUUCCCUCAUCAGAAAUAAGUUCAGACUGCUUAGAUGGCUAGAAUUUUCAUAUCUCUGUAGUUCCCUCUCUUCUGAAACUGAUAAUAGAGAUUCAGUUUCAACCGAUCUGGAGUUAGCAGUUAUCAGCAAAAUGAUUUGUGGUCAUGCCGACAACUGGAACUAAGAACUAUUUAGAUCAAGCUUGUUCUCGAAGUCUUCGCUGGAGAAUAAAUUCAAUCAGAUUCAGAUAUGUAAGGGUUUGAAGAAAGAGGAUUCAGAUUCGGAGGAGAUUUUACUGUUGAAGGUUUGACCGGAUUCAGGUGCAGAUGCGGUGAGCUCUUCUGUGCCGAUUUGCUCAACAUCAUUGACCAUAGUGAUUCUCAUUUCAUUAGGUGUCUGCAUAGAGAUCAGUUAAUUGCCAUGCUAGAAGGCAUCUACUUCUCAAUCCAACAUGCACAACAAUCCUCAGUUUCCAUUGAGUAGAGGCCUCCUGUAGAAAGUAAAUAAAACUAACUGACAGCAGAGGUGCUUGUGGAGUGAAUUGUAACUAUUUGAGAAAAUGCUGCAAUAAAAAAAAAAAAAAAAAAAAGCUUAUCCUUUGAUGCAGCAUCAGCAAUGAAGACUGUGGAAUCUGAGACUCUGGCUUUAACUUCUCCUCCAUUUCUCUCAUCUUCAAGAUGGAUCUCCUCCAUCUUGAGGGGGGUGUGUUGGAAUCCACUUGUGCACCAGAUUCUCAGUUAAGUGUCUGGCAGAAUAUUCCCUUCCAGUUAACUCAGCUACACCAGAAUAUUCCUUCCAGAAUUGGUCCAGCUUCCCAUUUGUCGAGAGUUAGAGAGUGUGUUAAUUUUCUCUAUAAAUAACAGACCUUGUAUAGCUUUUAGAUGAUUGGAUUGUUUCCUUCCAAUCCCUCCUUCCAUGGAGGUUUCAAAAGUGUUUCUUCCUCCUCUCAUUUCCUCCUUUGAUGGAGUGUAAUACAUCUUUGGAGUUUAAUACAUUGCUUCUCAUCCAAUAAAUUCUAAUAUUUACUAUAUUAUU
rnacentral:lncRNA from 1 species